UACGGAGGGUGCAAGCGUUGUCCGGAAUUACUGGGCGUAAAGCGCACGUAGGCGGCUUUCUAAGUCGGGGGUGAAAUCCUGGAGCUCAACUCCAGAACUGCCUUCGAUACUGGAGAGCUCGAGUCCGGGAGAGGUGAGUGGAACUGCGAGUGUAGAGGUGAAAUUCGUAGAUAUUCGCAAGAACACCAGUGGCGAAGGCGGCUCACUGGCCCGGUACUGACGCUGAGGUGCGAAAGCGUGGGGAGCAAACAGG
rnacentral:rRNA from 1 species